rnacentral:rRNA from 1 species
GCAAAUUUUAGCAAUAAGAUGUUGGCGACCGGCGCACGGGUGAGUAACACGUAUGUAACUUGGCUUUUACACGGAGAUAGCCUGAAGAAAUUUGGAUUAAUAUUCGAUAGUAUUUUUUUUCCACAAGGAUUUAGAAUUAAAGCACCGCAAGGUGUGGUAAGAGAUAGGCAUGCGCCCGAUUAGCUUGUUGGUGAGGUAAGAGCUCACCAAGGCUACGAUCGGUAGGGGUUCUGAGAGGAAGAUCCCCCACACUGACACUGAGAUACGGGUCAGACUCUUACGGGAGGCAGCAGUGAGGAAUAUUGGUCAAUGGGCGCAAGCCUGAACCAGCCACUCCGCGUGCAGGAUGACGGGUCUAUGGCUUGUAAACUGCUUUUUUAUGGGAAGAGAUAGCUUUUUUUAAGGUGAAGAGACGGUACCAUAAGAAAUUAAGCACCGGCUAACUACGUGCCAGCAGCCGCGGUAAUACGUAGGGUGCAAGCGUUAUCCGGAUUUAUUGGGUUUAAAGGACGCGUAGGCGGUUUUGUAAGUCAGUGUUGAAAUUCUAAUGCUUAACAAUAGGAGUGGCAUUGAUACUGCAAGACUAGAGUAGAAUGGACGUGGAUGGAAUGUGUGGUGUAGCGGUGGAAUGCGUAGAUAUCACACGGAACACCAAUUGCGAAGGCA